CUGGGGUCUGUCUGUAGCUGAGACUUGGAGAGUGGAGGUCAGUGCAAGUCGGUGUGAACAGAAUGGCAACACCUUGCAGCACAGCUGUCCGCUAAAGCCAUCCCGAGGCAGGCAGGGAGGUGGGGGAGGCUGGGUGUGCAGCCAGAUCUUGUGCAGAACCUCUGGUGUCGUUGCUAGCGGUCUUCUUGAUAUAUGCUAGAAAGGCAUUCGUUUAAAAGGUAUUGGGUUGGGCCGGGAUUUAGCUCAGUUCUGCUGCCUGCCUCACAAAUGCAAGGUCCAAAGUUCGUUCCCAGUACCUCCGCCACAAAUAAUGAAAAGUUAUUGGGUGACUCAGAAGGCAGGGGAACUAGUUUCAGAGAUGCCAUAGCCAGGAGAGCAAAAUCGGCCAGAGAUCUGAUACACUUGGAACACUUCGGCCACUGGACCCCACGCGUGACUUUGUGCGUGUUUCUCCUGCAGAGUGUGAGUGAACGGCGGGUCCAAAGCAGGCCUGACUUCCGGACACGCGGGGAGAGAAGCACACAUGACAGCGGUUCCUCUCCUUCUUCCCUUGUGGAUAUUUUUCACCUUUCAAGACCUUGGAAUUUUGGUAUCCCACGACUAUUUUCCACUCUUGGAUGCCUCAGAGUCAUGAAUAUGACGGCGCCAUGCCUCUCCGCAGGACGAUACCGAGGCCAGUGGCCCGCCUCGGAGGGCACAGUGCAAACCUCCUGCCGCUCUCAGGACAAGAUCCGUGAGCCUUGAGCACGGCGGGCUUUGGUACUGAUCCAGUCAAAGCCACCUGCCCAUCUCACAGAAGACCGUGGGUGGUUUCCCAGAACCUGGUGAUUAUAAAUGUGAACUGAGGCAGGAAUAAAUAUCUUAUUUUCAUAGGAGUGAGUUUUCUGUAUGACCUUUGAAAUGACAAAAAAAUCGCCUUCCGGUUCCCUGGGGCCAGGCAGCUGUCCUUCAGCCCGGCUCUCCCCUCAGCUCAGCGGGUUCCUGAGCCUUGGCGGACACCUUCCCUCCCCUGGGACCUGCGGGGCUGGAGGAGGUGGCAGAGGAAGGGGAACAGCCGGCUGUCCCUCCAGGUGCAGACUCGGGGCAUCUUCGGUGUCUCCAGCUGCUCACAGCAGAGAGACCGCUAACUACGGCGGCAGACGAUUCUGGGCUGCGUAAAGACAGCAAGAGCAGCCGUGUGAAGUGUUAAAACCUAUCGCACAUGAACAUACGGCAAUACGAUUAUUUUCAAAUACUCUCAAAGUGAAAAUAGGCAAAUACCAGGCACUUAGUGGGUCCUUUUCUAAAAUAAAGUUUGGUUGCAUUGCAAUGUCAUGGUUAAUUUGCCGUUAUUUAUGAAGUUGGCAGAAUUUCUCAAAAUUGUACCGCUUAAAAAUUCAGCUAAGUGAAAUGUAAAAGCAUUAAAUCUGUAUUGAAUCAUCUAGAGUACAAGAUGUACUCUGACGACUUUUAGGAAUGAAUGGAAAUGAAGGAGAAGGCGCGUUGUCUUUUUUAAUGAAAUUGAGAGGUUAUGAAACAUUCUCUUCCUGACUGGACAAAAAUUAAAGACGCAAGGG
ensembl:lincRNA